GGGGGGCUCGAGUUCACUCCAACCCAUGUGACAUACCUCAUCGUUGCCUCGGCAGGUCGUGCUUACCCUGUAGUGCCUACCCUGGAAGCCCCUACCCUGUAGGAGCUACCCUGGAGGCGCUGCCCGGUAGCACGCUCCAGGCCUGCCGGCGGCCCCCUAAACUCUGUUUAUUUUGGAACUCUGAAUCAAUAUCUAAAUAAGUUAAAACUUUCAACAACGGAUCUCUUGGUUCUGGCAUCGAUGAAGAACGCAGCGAAAUGCGAUAAGUAAUGUGAAUUGCAGAAUUCAGUGAAUCAUCGAAUCUUUGAACGCACAUUGCGCCCAUUAGUAUUCUAGUGGGCAUGCCUGUUCGAGCGUCAUUUCAACCCUUAAGCCCUGUUGCUUAGUGUUGGGAACUUACAGCACUGUAAUUCCCCAAAGUUAGUGGCGGAGUUAGGUCAUACUCUGAGCGUAGUAAUUUUUCUCGCUUCUGAAGUGGCCCGGCCCCUGCCGUAAAACCCCUAAUUUUCUAUGGUUGACCUCGGAUCAGGUAGGAAUACCCGCUGAACUUAAGCAUAUCAAUAAGCGGAGGAA
rnacentral:rRNA from 1 species